CCUACGGGAGGCAGCAGUGAGGAAUAUUGGUCAAUGGGCGAGAGCCUGAACCAGCCAAGUCGCGUGAAGGAUGAAGGAUCUAUGGUUUGUAAACUUCUUUUAUAUGGGAAUAAAGUGAGGAACGUGUUCCUUUUUGUAUGUACCAUAUGAAUAAGCAUCGGCUAACUCCGUGCCAGCAGCCGCGGUAAUACGGAGGAUGCGAGCGUUAUCCGGAUUUAUUGGGUUUAAAGGGUGCGUAGGUGGUUAAUUAAGUCAGCGGUGAAGGUUGGUGGCUCAACCAUAGACUUGCCGUUGAAACUGGUUGACUUGAGUAUAUUUGAGGUAGGCGGAAUGCGUGGUGUAGCGGUGAAAUGCAUAGAUAUCACGCAGAACUCCGAUUGCGAAGGCAGCUUACUAAACUAUAACUGACACUGAAGCACGAAAGCGUGGGGAGCAAACAGGAUUAGAUACCCCUGUAGUC
rnacentral:rRNA from 1 species